rnacentral:SRP_RNA from 1 species
CUAUGCUAAGUGGGGAGGUAGCGGUGCCCUGUAUCUGCAAUCCGCUAUAGCAGAACUGAAUCCCCAGCAUGCGGCCUAUCUUUGUGGGGUCUGUCCCAUGCACGUGGCGUUGAUAGUUGGGUCUUGAGCAACGAAAGCUUAUUGAACCCCGUCAGAUCCGGAAGGAAGCAGCGGUAAAUAGGUCUUUUCGUGUGACGCAAGGUAGCCUAACUUGAGCAAACGACAUGGGCAACGCUCGGAAAGGUUUGUCAACUCUGGGUGCAUAG